CCGCGUGAGUGAUGAAGGCCUUAGGGUUGUAAAGCUCUUUUAUUAGGGACGAUGAUGACGGUACCUAAUGAAUAAGCUCCGGCUAACUUCGUGC
rnacentral:rRNA from 1 species